rnacentral:rRNA from 1 species
UGGGGAAUAUUGGACAAUGGGCGCAAGCCUGAUCCAGCCAUGCCGCGUGAGUGACGAAGGUCUUCGGAUUGUAAAGCUCUUUUAGCAGGGAAGAUAAUGACGGUACCUGCAGAAUAAGCCCCGGCUAACUCCGUGCCAGCAGCCGCGGUAAUACGGAGGGUGCAAGCGUUGUUCGGAAUUACUGGGCGUAAAGCGCGUGUAGGCGGGUCGUUAAGUUGGGGGUGAAAUCCCGAGGCUCAACCUCGGAACUGCCUUCAAAACUGGCGACCUGGACUCAAGCAGAGGCAAGUGGAAUUGCGAGUGUAGAGGUGAAAUUCGUAGAUAUUCGCAGGAACACCAGUGGCGAAGGCGACUUGCUGGGCUUGUAGUGACGCUGAGACGCGAAAGCGUGGGGAGCAAACAGGAUUAGAUACCCUCGUAGUCCCUGAGCGGGCUGGCAAGGCGCAU